UACGAAGGUCCCGAGCGUUGUUCGGAAUCACUGGGCGUAAAGGGCGCGUAGGCGGCACGGCAAGUCAGGAGUGAAAGGCCUGGGCUCAACCGAGGAACUGCUUUUGAGACUGCCGAGCUAGAGUGCAGAAGGGGCAACUGGAAUUCCCAGUGUAGCGGUGAAAUGCGUAGAUAUUGGGAAGAACACCUGAGGCGAAGGCGGGUUGCUGGGCUGACACUGACGCUGAGGCGCGAAAGCCAGGGGAGCAAACGGG
rnacentral:rRNA from 1 species